rnacentral:tRNA from 11 species
GCCUAGUGGUGUGACGCCGGGCUCUAAAGCCAAUGAUCGCGGGUUGCAGUCCGG